rnacentral:rRNA from 1 species
AUUGAACGCUGGCGGCAUGCCUUACACAUGCAAGUCGAACGGCAGCAUGGAGAGCUUGCUCUCUGAUGGCGAGUGGCGAACGGGUGAGUAAAGCAUCGGAACGUACCGUGUAGUGGGGGAUAACGUAGCGAAAGUUACGCUAAUACCGCAUACGCACUGAGGUGGAAAGCAGGGGAUCGUAAGACCUUGCGCUAUACGAGCGGCCGAUGUCAGAUUAGCUAGUUGGUAGGGUAAAGGCCUACCAAGGCGACGAUCUGUAGCGGGUCUGAGAGGAUGCGCCGCCACACUGGGACUGAGACACGGCCCAGACUCCUACGGGAGGCAGCAGUGGGGAAUUUUGGACAAUGGGGGCAACCCUGAUCCAGCCAUGCCGCGUGAGUGAAGAAGGCCUUCGGGUUGUAAAGCUCUUUCGGCCGGGAAGAAAUCGCACAGGCUAAUACCCUGUGCGGAUGACGGUACCGGCAUAAGAAGCACCGGCUAACUACGUGCCAGCCGCCGCCGUAA